AAGAGCUGCAGCUGGCGAAGAGGAGUGGACAGUAAAUUACUUCCUCUAUUUAGCAAGGAUUCAAACUCAAAUCCAAAACCUGCUGAAGAGAACAUGUCGGGAAGGAAGAUCGAGGAAGGAUAGGAGGAAGGACGCUUUUGAAGGUUGUGAUUGGUCGAUAUUUUCAACUAAACUACAAAGGGCCAAGCUUGUUGCCCCAACUGACCAAAAGAUGUCUUCAUGUGUCUUCAUUUCAAGGACCCGUGGGAACCAUGACCAGUUUGUAUUCAUUUGUAUUUAUGUGCUGUAGAUCUUAGCCAUGAAAAAAACACUUUCUCUUCAUUACGUGUAUUAUUCUCAAAUUCUUUGUCGUUAUUAUCUGUGAUAAUUUACUAUACCAGCAUUUCAGCUGCUAUACAGCUUCAUGUGUAUCAUUCGUACAUCUCAGUCUCAGUUUUCAAGUAUUUCUAAUUGCCUUCCUGUGUCCCGAGUGCUAUAGUAU
rnacentral:lncRNA from 1 species